CGCGAAUGGCUCAUUACAACAGCUAUAAUUUACUUGAUCUUGACACAAUCCUACUUGGAUAACUGUGGUAAUUCUAGAGCUAGUACAUGCAUUAAAGCUCUGACCUCACGGGAAGAGUGCAUUUAUUAGAACAAAACCAAGCGGCUUCGGCUGUUUCUGGUUGACUCAUAGUAACUGAGCUGAUCGCAUGGUCUUGCACCGGCGACGUGUCUUUCAAGUAUCUGCCGCAUCAACUUUCGAUGGUAGUGUAUCUGACUACCAUGGUGAUCACGCGUAACGGAGAAUAAGGGUUCGGCUCCGGAGAGUUCGCCUGAGAAAUCGCGAACACAUCUAAGGAAGGCAGCAGGCGCGAAAAUUACCCACUCUCAGCACGAGGAGGUAGUGACGAAAAAUAACGAGACCGUUCUCUCAUGAGGCCGGUCAUCGGAAUGGGUACAAUUUAAACCCUUUAACGAGUAUCUAUGAGAGGGCAAGUCUGGUGCCAGCAGCCGCGGUAAUUCCAGCU
rnacentral:rRNA from 1 species